GACGAACCGUACGAGCGAUAUUCGGAAUCAUUGGGCUUAAAGGGUGCGUAGGCGGUGCAGAAAGUUGGGUGUGAAAUCCCUCGGCUCAACCGAGGAAUUGCGCCCAAUACUACUGUGCUAGAGGGAGACAGAGGUAAGCGGAACUUAGGGUGGAGCGGUGAAAUGCGUUGAUAUCCUAAGGAACACCAGUGGCGAAAGCGGCUUACUGGGUCUCUUCUGACGCUGAGGCACGAAAGCUAGGGGAGCAAACGGG
rnacentral:rRNA from 1 species